rnacentral:rRNA from 1 species
GACGAACGCUGGCGGCGUGCUUAACACAUGCAAGUCGAACGGAAAGGCCCUGCUUUUGUGGGGUGCUCGAGUGGCGAACGGGUGAGUAACACGUGAGUAACCUGCCCUUGACUUUGGGAUAACUUCAGGAAACUGGGGCUAAUACCGGAUAGGAGCUCCUGCUGCAUGGUGGGGGUUGGAAAGUUUCGGCGGUUGGGGAUGGACUCGCGGCUUAUCAGCUUGUUGGUGGGGUAGUGGCUUACCAAGGCUUUGACGGGUAGCCGGCCUGAGAGGGUGACCGGCCACAUUGGGACUGAGAUACGGCCCAGACUCCUACGGGAGGCAGCAGUGGGGAAUAUUGCACAAUGGGCGGAAGCCUGAUGCAGCAACGCCGCGUGCGGGAUGACGGCCUUCGGGUUGUAAACCGCUUUCGCCUGUGACGAAGCGUGAGUGACGGUAAUGGGUAAAGAAGCACCGGCUAACUACGUGCCAGCAGCCGCGGUGAUACGUAGGGUGCGAGCGUUGUCCGGAUUUAUUGGGCGUAAAGGGCUCGUAGGUGGUUGAUCGCGUCGGAAGUGUAAUCUUGGGGCUUAACCCUGAGCGUGCUUUCGAUACGGGUUGACUUGAGGAAGGUAGGGGAGAAUGGAAUUCCUGGUGGAGCGGUGGAAUGCGCAGACAUCAGGAGGAACACCAGUGGCGAAGGCGGUUCUCUGGGCCUUUCCUGACGCUGAGGAGCGAAAGCGUGGGGAGCGAACAGGCUUAGAUACCCUGGUAGUCCACGCUGUAAACGGUGGGUACUAGGUGUGGGGUCCAUUCCACGGGUUCCGUGCCGUAGCUAACGCUUUAAGUACCCCGCCUGGGGAGUACGGCCGCAAGGCUAAAACUCAAAGGAAUUGACGGGGCCCCGCACAAGCGGCGGAGCAUGCGGAUUAAUUCGAUGCAACGCGUAGAACCUUACCUGGGUUUGACAUGGAUCGGGAGUGCUCAGAGAUGGGUGUGCCUCUUUUGGGGUCGGUUCACAGGUGGUGCAUGGCUGUCGUCAGCUCGUGUCGUGAGAUGUUGGGUUAAGUCCCGCAACGAGCGCAACCCUUGUUCACUGUUGCCAGCACGUUAUGGUGGGGACUCAGUGGAGACCGCCGGGGUCAACUCGGAGGAAGGUGGGGAUGACGUCAAGUCAUCAUGCCCCUUAUGUCCAGGGCUUCACGCAUGCUACAAUGGCUGGUACAGAGAGUGGCGAGCCUGUGAGGGUGAGCGAAUCUCGGAAAGCCGGUCUCAGUUCGGAUUGGGGUCUGCAACUCGACCUCAUGAAGUCGGAGUCGCUAGUAAUCGCAGAUCAGCAACGCUGCGGUGAAUACGUUCCCGGGGCU